AACGUAGGACACAAGCGUUAUCCGGAGUUACUGGGCGUAAAGGGCGUGUAGGCGGAGGUGUAAGUCUAUUCUGAAAAGCUCCUGGCUAAAACUGGGAGAGGCGAAUGGAGACUGCAUCUCUAGAGUGAGGAAAGAGGAAAAGUGGAAAUUCCGCGUGUAGUGGUGAAAAUGCGUAGAGAUGCGGAGGAACACCAGUGGCGAAAAGCGACUUUCUGGUCCUUAACUGACGCUGAGGCGCGAAAGCAUGGGGAGCGAACGGGG
rnacentral:rRNA from 1 species